GUGCAAUUGCCACUGGGAUAUUGCCCUGUGCUCGCUUUGAAUAUUGUGUAAGCAAGUGAACACAGCUGGUGGUAUCCAGUGGCCGUUUGGCG
rnacentral:pre_miRNA from 13 species